CACGUAGGGGGCGAGCGUUGUCCGGAUUUAUUGGGCGUAAAGAGCUCGUAGGCGGCUCGGUAAGUCAGGUGUGAAAACUCUAGGCUCAACCUAGAGACGCCACCUGAUACUGCUGUGGCUAGAGUCCGGUAGGGGAGCAUGGAAUCCCUGGUGUAGCGGUGAAAUGCGCAGAUAUCAGGAGGAACACCAGUGGCGAAGGCGGUGCUCUGGGCCGGAACUGACGCUGAGGAGCGAAAGCGUGGGGAGCAAACAGG
rnacentral:rRNA from 1 species